rnacentral:rRNA from 1 species
UACGUAGGGUGCGAGCGUUAAUCGGAAUUACUGGGCGUAAAGCGUGCGCAGGCGGUUGGGUGUGUCAGAUGUGAAAUCCCGAGGCUUAACCUCGGAACUGCGUCUGAAACUACUCGACUAGAGUAUUGGAGAGGGUAACGGAAUUCACGGUGUAGCAGUGAAAUGCGUAGAUAUCGUGAGGAACACCAGAGGCGAAGGCGGUUACCUGGACGAUUACUGACGCUCAGGCACGAAAGCAUGGGGAGCAAAAGGG